rnacentral:rRNA from 1 species
UCGAGCGGACCUUUAGGAUUUAUCCUGAAGGUUAGCGGCGGACGGGUGAGUAACACGUGGGCAACCUGCCCUAUAGUUGGGGAUAACUCCGGGAAACCGGGGCUAAUACCGAAUAAUUCAUUUCAUCACAUGUUGGAAUGAUAAAAGAUGGUUUUGCUAUCGCUAUAGGAUGGGCCCGCGGCGCAUUAGCUAGUUGGUGAGGUAACGGCUCACCAAGGCGACGAUGCGUAGCCGACCUGAGAGGGUGAUCGGCCACACUGGGACUGAGACACGGCCCAGACUCCUACGGGAGGCAGCAGUAGGGAAUCUUCCACAAUGGACGAAAGUCUGAUGGAGCAACGCCGCGUGAGUGAAGAAGGUUUUCGGAUCGUAAAACUCUGUUGUAAGGGAAGAACAAGUACAGUAGUAACUGGCUGUACCUUGACGGUACCUUAUUAGAAAGCCACGGCUAACUACGUGCCAGCAGCCGCGGUAAUACGUAGGUGGCAAGCGUUGUCCGGAAUAUUGGGCGUAAAGCGCGCGCAGGCGGUCCUUUAAGUCUGAUGUGAAGCCCACGGCUCACCGUGGAGGGUCAUUGGAAACUGGAGGACUUGAGUGCAGAAGAGGAAGUGGAAUCCCAGUGUAGCGGUGAAUGCGUAGAGAUUGGAGGACACCGUGGCGAGGCGACUUUCUGGUCUGUACUGACGCUGAGGCGCGAAGCGUGGGGAGCAACAGGAUAGAUACCUGGUA